rnacentral:rRNA from 1 species
GACGAACGCUGGCGGCGUGCUUAACACAUGCAAGUCGAACGGAAAGGCGCUGCCUUUGUGGCGUGCUCGAGUGGCGAACGGGUGAGUAACACGUGAGUAACCUGCCCUUGACUUUGGGAUAACUUCAGGAAACGGUGGCUAAUACUGGAUACGAGCACCCGCUGCAUGGUGGGUGUUGGAAAGUUUCGGCGGUUGGGGAUGGACUCGCGGCUUAUCAGCUUGUUGGUGGGGUAGUGGCUUACCAAGGCUUUGACGGGUAGCCGGCCUGAGAGGGUGACCGGCCACACUGGGACUGAGACACGGCCCAGACUCCUACGGGAGGCAGCAGUGGGGAAUAUUGCACAAUGGGCGGAAGCCUGAUGCAGCGACGCCGCGUGAGGGAUGACGGCCUUCGGGUUGUAAACCGCUUUCGGCUGUGACGAAGCGAGAGUGACGGUAACUGCAGAAGAAGCACCGGCUAACUACGUG